GACGAACGCUGGCGGCGUGCUUAACGCAUGCAAGUCGAACGGAAAGGCCCUGCUUUUGUGGGGUGCUCGAGUGGCGAACGGGUGAGUAACACGUGAGUAACCUGCCCUUGACUUUGGGAUAACUUCAGGAAACUGGGGCUAAUACCGGAUAGGAGCUCCUGCUGCAUGGUGGGGGUUGGAAAGUUUCGGCGGUUGGGGAUGGACUCGCGGCUUAUCAGCUUGUUGGUGGGGUAGUGGCUUACCAAGGCUUUGACGGGUAGCCGGCCUGAGAGGGUGACCGGCCACAUUGGGACUGAGAUACGGCCCAGACUCCUACGGGAGGCAGCAGUGGGGAAUAUUGCACAAUGGGCGGAAGCCUGAUGCAGCAACGCCGCGUGCGGGAUGACGGCCUUCGGGUUGUAAACCGCUUUCGCCUGUGACGAAGCGUGAGUGACGGUAAUGGAUAAAGAAGCACCGGCUAACUACGUG
rnacentral:rRNA from 1 species